ensembl:lncRNA
CUGUGCUCCCUCCCACUGCUGGCUCUGGUGUGGGGUCUGGAGCUUCCAGUCCCAUUCCCAAAUCUGCUACUGAGCUGCUGUCUUGUGUCACACACAUUGGACUUGCUGUGGUGGGCUGAUAAAGCAAGAGCCAGGAGCUGCCAGGGCUGCUGGGAGUGGUGACCUGGCUUGGCUCUGCAGGGUAAUCCACGCCUCCAUCUCUACCAAAGCAACUGAAGAAGUGCAAGGCUUUGAAAUGCUACUGCUGGAGUUACUCACGAUCAAAAGCCUUGGCCACAAUCCAGCUUCUCUCUCAACAGCAACAAAAAGACCAAGAGCAUGGGGAAUCUGUCGGCUCAAAGAGGCACAUCAGGAUCAGGAGAGUGAAUAGAUUUGCAGCAACUCCCAAACCUGGCCCUUCUCAUCCCAUUCCCACUGGAUACUGGCUCAUCACCAUUCAAGGAAGGAAAGUGAUUUCUUCAGAGAGAGGAGAUCAAUCUGCCUUAUUGAAAAACCACACCACAAGGUGGUUCUUUCUACAUCACAAGACUCAAAGUUCCUGGAAACAUGUUAUUUGUGCUCAGUAGAAAGAAGAAACAACUGACCAAAACGUGAGAAACCAGCAUGUGAGCUCUGCAGACCACACUGCUGCUGCUCAUUCAUCUAGGCAGUGUCAGUGAAAGGGAAGGGAUUGGAGUUUUCCCUCCUGGGAACACCAGUUUGGAGAAAACAUGCUCUCUGAGUCUGUAGUCCCUAUCCAUCAGCAGUGCCAGGGCAAACCUGAGCCACCAACCAGCACACCAGGUGGGAUUCCUGCUGAGGACAGAUCUGCAGGUCAGACAGUGAGAGAAACUCCCCACUUACACUCUGGAAAUUGAAUUUCACAGUGACGAACAGCAAAAAUUCCCUCCUACCCCCAAGUGAGUUUUUUUUCCACCCUGUACACAGGGAGUGUGCUCAUCAAAUCAGAGUUCAAUACAUAUUCAGUUUAACAUAAUUCACACCCUAUUUGUCCUUACACUAAAUGAAGUACAAUCAACUAGGAAUUAUGUAUAACCAUUACAUUCUGCUGCCCAGUUAGUUACAUGUAAUCAGCGCUGUCAUACAGGCAGGCACAGAAAUACACAUUUUUCUUAAUCCUAAGGUGCUCAGACUUUUAUUAUGUGCUGCAAAUGUUCCAUUUGGUGGACUGAGCAGAAAGCUGGUGACUCAGAAGUCACUGAAGAGGAGUCCUCUUUUCUCCCUGGAUCAGCACUAUUCUCUGCUUAAAAAAGCCUGAAAAGCAUGAAGACCUGGAAUUUCACCUGUUUUCAGCUAAUGUUCAUGGCUUCAGGGUAUGUGAGUGGAAUCUGCAAGCAGAAAAUACCUGCUCUGAGAUGUCACCCUGUGCUUUCCAUAUUCCAUUUGUAAGCAUUCGGCUCCAGCUGCCUUUUGAAGUGGCAAAUGCAAUUUACACAAAUUAGAAGUAAAAUAUAUCUUGAUGUAAGUUCUAAUAUGAAAAGUGCACUUUUUAAUCUUGAAAAUUAUCAUGAAGAUUUUCAAGAGAAAGCUUUAUUGCUCUAUACACAGAUAAGUUGCAAUGAUAUUUGAGGAACAGGAAUCUCUGGCAUGUCUUGAUUCAGAGUAGAUUUGCUGCUAAGGAACUGCUUCCUCCAGAUGUAAGUCUGAGGACUGAACACUGCAGGGAUCGAUGCUGCUAACACGCUGCCCAAGGCCCACAGAAGACCUUCUGGUUGUUGGUUGGUCAAAGCAGAAGAUGUGCUCAGCUCUAAAACCCACUGACUUCAUUGGAACCAAUGAUAAGCUGGCACGCGUUUGUCUACUGUUCUGUUGAAGCAGAAUAAGUGCAGGUGUUAUCUUGCAUCUGGGCAGACAGAACAGCUCUGAUUAGCUCUGUCAUGUCAGCUGCAUGUGGUGCAUUUCAGCAAGCUGCUGUGCUCACAGCCAGCUUAUUUUAUUUGCAUUUUGCUCUGGGUGGGUCAGUGUGAAUUGUGCCUCAGCACUACUUCCUCACAGCUUUGAGGAGAUUUCUGGCUCCUUCCUGCCCAGAUGGAGGCCUGUAUCAUAGAAAUAUAGAACUGUUCGUAACUGUUGGAAGGCCACAGCCUUGAUCUCUCUGUAAUUCACCACGUUCAUUUACUGGCCCUUGUGAAAGUUUGCACUCUGAUCCAAGCAAGCUGGUCUUCCUUCCUACUGACCUCAUGCUCUGUUUGGAUUGUAUCUCUUACACAUUCUGAUUUUUUAGAUAUGUUCCUUUACAUAGUUUCUAGGUCUUUGAGGAGGGGGUUCUGAUGCACCUCCUUAGUAGAAUCUCCUACAUGGUGAGCCAAAGUGAGAUGAUUUACAGAUUUUUUGAGGCUGUGUCAGUCUGGGACACUACACUUCCUGAACUUCUCUAAAACUAUUAGCAAGUGUCCACAGGAGGGAUAUGGAGAUUGAGAAGGGUCUGAGGGCAGUAUGUAAGGAGCAGCUGAGGUCUGUGGUGUGCUAAGCCCAGAGCAGA